UGGCUCAGUUGGUAGAGCAUGGUGUUUGCAACGCCAGGGUUGUGGGUUUGUUUCCCAC
rfam:Salmo salar isolate Sally breed double haploid chromosome ssa20, whole genome shotgun sequence.